rnacentral:rRNA from 1 species
AUUGAACGCUGGCGGCAGGCUUAACACAUGCAAGUCGAGCGGAGAUGAGGUGCUUGCACCUUAUCUUAGCGGCGGACGGGUGAGUAAUGCUUAGGAAUCUGCCUAUUAGUGGGGGACAACAUCCCGAAAGGAAUGCUAAUACCGCAUACGCCCUACGAGGGAAAGCAGGGGAUCUUCGGACCUUGCGCUAAUAGAUGAGCCUAAGUCGGAUUAGCUAGUUGGUGGGGUAAAGGACUACCACGGCGACGAUCUGUAGCGGGUCUGAGAGGAUGAUCCGCCACACUGGGACUGAGACACGGCCCAGACUCCUACGGGAGGCAGCAGUGGGGAAUAUUGGACAAUGGGCGGAAGCCUGAUCCAGCCAUGCCGCGUGUGUGAAGAAGGCCUUUUGGUUGUAAAGCACUUUAAGCGAGGAGGAGGCUACCUGGAUUAAUACUCUAGGAUAGUGGACGUUACUCGCAGAAUAAGCACCGGCUAACUCUGUGCCAGCAGCCGCCGUAAUAC